rnacentral:rRNA from 1 species
CCUACGGGUGGCACCAGUAGGGAAUCUUCGGCAAUGGACGAAAGUCUGACCGAGCAACGCCGCGUGAGUGAAGAAGGUUUUCGGAUCGUAAAACUCUGUUGGUAGAGAAGAACGUUGGUGAGAGUGGAAAGCUCAUCAAGUGACGAUAACUACCCAGAAAGGGACGGCUAACUACGUGCCAGCAGCCGCGGUAAUACGUAGGUCCCGAGCGUUGUCCGGAUUUAUUGGGCGUAAAGCGAGCGCAGGUGGUUUAUUAAGUCUGGUGUAAAAGGCAGUGGCUCAACCAUUGUAUGCAUUGGAAACUGGUAGACUUGAGUGCAGGAGAGGAGAGUGGAAUUCCAUGUGUAGCGGUGAAAUGCGUAGAUAUAUGGAGGAACACCGGUGGCGAAAGCGGCUCUCUGGCCUGUAACUGACACUGAGGCUCGAAAGCGUGGGGAGCAAACAGGAUUAGAUACCCUCGUAGUC